UAGGCACGGAAACCCUGUUGUGGAAUCCGCCUACUUUGGGAAAGUUGUGAACAAUGAGUCCACCACCAACAGGCCAAAGUCAAGAUAAUGCCGACCAGACUUCCUGAUGGGUGAUUGCCCAAGAUAACCAUCAGAAUGAAGACACGUAGACCCUGCACCCUGCACAACUCCUCAUGUCUCCCAUGCCAAGUUUCCCUUUAAAAACCCUAUGCUGGAAGGCCUUCACCAGAUGCCGGCACCUUGAUCUUUGAUUUCUCAUCCUCCAGAACUGUGAGAAAUACAUUUCUCUUCUUCAUAAAUCAUCCAGUCUCAGAUAUUGUGUUAUAGUAGCACAAAAUGGACUAAGACAAACUUUAAUGUUAAGCAUCCAACAAUGCACUCUGGCAAAUUGUGGGUUACUUCUACCAAAAAGUGUGAAAUCCUGGCCUGUUCCUCACUGCAGCCUGAACUUAGCUUAUAAGCAGAUAUUUGCAAUCUAUUUAAACUUGCCUCAGCCCCAGGCCUUAGGGGUUCAACCUUUCCCCAGAGCAAAUGUUUUUUUUUUAUGAAAUAACAAGAACUCAGUGUUAUAAUCAACAGAUGGUAAUAGCUGAGCAAGUUCUAAUCUCAUAACACUGAAGAAAUUGUUCCCAGUCUCAUUCUGUCAUUCCCAUUUCAUCAUUUUCUUCUGAUUUGUUGAGUUAUUGCUUAAUCUCAAUAAUUUACUUAUUUUUCAGAAGGAUUUGUUAACAAUACCUUCUCCCCCCUCGGAGCACUCAAUUUAUAU
rnacentral:lncRNA from 10 species